rnacentral:rRNA from 1 species
GUAGGGAAUAUUGGGCAAUGGGCGGAAGCCUGACCCAGCCAUGCCGCGUGCAGGACGAAGGCCUUCUGGGUUGUAAACUGCUUUUACAGGGGAAGAAAACACCCAUGCGUGGGGAACUGACGGUACCCUGGGAAUAAGCACCGGCUAACUCCGUGCCAGCAGCCGCGGUAAUACGGAGGGUGCAAGCGUUGUCCGGAUUUAUUGGGUUUAAAGGGUGCGUAGGCGGCCCAUUAAGUCAGCGGUGAAAGCCCGGGGCUCAACCCCGGAACCGCCGUUGAUACUGGUGGGCUUGAGUAUGGACGAGGUCGGCGGAAUUGAGGGUGUAGCGGUGAAAUGCUUAGAUACCCUCAAGAACACCGAUUGCGUAGGCAGCUGACUAGGCCAUAACUGACGCUGAGGCACGAAAGCGUGGGGAGCGAACAGGAUUAGAUACCCUGGUAGUCC